rnacentral:rRNA from 1 species
GACGAACGCUGGCGGCGUGCUUAACACAUGCAAGUCGAACGGAAAGGCCCUGCUUUUGUGGGGUGCUCGAGUGGCGAACGGGUGAGUAACACGUGAGUAACCUGCCCUUGACUUUGGGAUAACUUCAGGAAACUGGGGCUAAUACCGGAUAGGAGCUCCUGCUGCAUGGUGGGGGUUGGAAAGUUUCGGCGGUUGGGGAUGGACUCGCGGCUUAUCAGCUUGUUGGUGGGGUAGUGGCUUACCAAGGCUUUGACGGGUAGCCGGCCUGAGAGGGUGACCGGCCACAUUGGGACUGGAAUCCGGCCCAGACCCCGACGGGGGGCAGCAGGGGGGAAUAUUGCACAAGGGGCGGAAGCCUGAUGGAGCAACGCCGCGUGGGGGAGGACGGCCUUGGGGUUGUAAACCGCUUUCCCCUGGGACGAAGGGUGGGGGAGGGUAAUGGGUAAAAAAGCACCGGCAAACUACGG